rnacentral:rRNA from 1 species
CCCUUAGAUGUUCUGGGCCGCACGCGCGCUACACUGAUGCAUUCAACGAGUUUCUUCCUGGUCCGAGAGGAAUGGGUAACCUUUUGAAAGUGCAUCGUGAUAGGGAUAGACUAUUGCAAUUAUUGGUCUUCAACGAGGAAUUCCUAGUAGACGUAGUUCAUCAGACUGCAUCGAUUACGUCCCUGCCCUUUGUAUACACCGCCCGUCGCUCCUACCGAUUGAAUGCUCAGGUGAGCCAUUCGGACUUUCAUCAUGCUGGUUUCCAGUUUUGAUGAAGGAAAGUCUUGCGAACCUUAUCAUUUAGAGGAAGGAGAAGUCGUAACA